UAUCGAAAACAUAAAUGCUAAUUAUUACAAGCAUUCAACUCACAUACACUUAACAUAUUACAUUAGCUUUCACUUAACUUCUAAAUACAAUCCGAUUUAACAUGAUUAUUACAAUUUAUUACUACUUGGUUCUUUUCUUUUCUUUUCAUAUCCCUGAGCAGCUGACUUAGGAUACUGCUAUCUUUGGUCUCGGUGGUAGGGCAUUAUCUAUAGCGCUACGCU
rnacentral:lncRNA from 1 species